rnacentral:rRNA from 1 species
GACGAACGCUGGCGGCGUGCUUAACACAUGCAAGUCGAACGGAAAGGCCCCUUUGGGGGUACUCGAGUGGCGAACGGGUGAGUAACACGUGAGUAACCUGCCCUUGACUUCGGGAUAACUUCAGGAAACUGGGGCUAAUACCGGAUAGGAAUCAUUGCUGCAUGGUGGGGGUUGGAAAGCUUCGGCGGUGUUGGAUGGACUCGCGGCCUAUCAGCUUGUUGGUGGGGUAGUGGCUUACCAAGGCUUUGACGGGUAGCCGGCCUGUGAGGGCGACCGGCCACCUUGGGACUUAGAUACGGCCCAGACUCCUACGGGAGGCAGCAGUGGGGAAUAUUGCACAAUGGGCGGCAGCCUGAUGCAGCAACGCCGCGUGCGGGAUGACGGCCUUCGGGUUGUAAACCGCUUUCAGCAGGGGCGAAGCUUGUGGUGACGGUACCUGCAGAAGAAGCACCGGCUAACUACGUG